rnacentral:tRNA from 1 species
GGGGGUGUAGCUCAGGGGUAGAGCAUUUGACUGCAGAUCAAGAGGUC